rnacentral:misc_RNA from 1 species
GCUACUACCGAUUGAAUGGUUUAGUGAGGACUCCUGAUUGGCGCCGCCGCCCCGGCAACGAAGCAGCGGACUGCCGAAAAGUUGUUCAAACUUGAUCAUUUAGAGGAAGUAAAAGUCGUAACAAGGUUUCCGUAGGUGAACCUGCAGAAGGAUA